CCAGCCUUGACCCAUGGCAAUUUUCUGAAGCUGUUAAUUCCAAGCAGGAGCCUAAAAUGGUACCUUUCUACAGUCUGUUGGCCAUUUCAGAGCUUUAAAAAUGCAAUGGUCAAUUCAUUAGAAGGCAACAACU
ensembl:snoRNA